rnacentral:lncRNA from 1 species
AAGUCUUCACCUGGUUGACAGAAGAGGAAGAAGUCGACGAAGACAUGACGGAAAGUCGCACCGACGAGAGGAAUGAGAGAGUAAAACCGAAAGCCAAACUGGUACUAUCGGGAGGAAGUGCCUAGGCCGGUAUUUAUAGGAAAAAGAUGCGUGGAAAUUUGGUAAGGCCACGUCCCAUCGGAAGUAAGAAAGGCAGUAAAUAGAAAGGGCGUCGCGAGGGACGGUCAAAGUAGAUAGU